rnacentral:rRNA from 1 species
AAACAUGUCUUUUUGAAUUAUAUUUAAAGUCUGACCUGCCCACUGAAUAAGUUUAAAUGGCCGCAGUAUUUUGACUGUGCAAAGGUAGCAUAAUCAUUAGUCUUUUAAUUGAAGGCUGGUAUGAAUGGUUGGACGAAGUAUAAGCUGUUUCAUAUAAAUUUAUAAUAGAAUUUUAUAUUUUAGUUAAAAAGCUAAAAUUUUAUUAAAAGACGAGAAGACCCUAUAAAUCUUUAUAAUUAAUAUUAACUAAAUUUUUUUGAUUUGUUUUAUUUUUUUAGUAUUAAUUAUUUUGUUGGGGUGAUGUUAAAAUUUAAUGAACUUUUAAUUUUUUAAAAUCAUUAAUUUAUGAAUAAUUGAUCCAUUAAUAAUGAUUAUAAGACUAAGUUACUUUAGGGAUAACAGCGUAAUUUUUUUUGAGAGUUCAUAUCGACAAAAAAGUUUGCGACCUCGAUGUUGGAUUAAGGUAUAGUUUUGGGUGUAGCUGUUCAAAAAUUAAGUCUGUUCGACUUUUAAAUCCUUACAUGAUC